CGAGGCUUACACAUGCAGUCGAGGGGUAACAGAUCUUCGGAUGCUGACGACCGGCGAACGGGUGAGUAACACGUAUGCAACUUACCCAUAACUCGGGAAUAGCCCAAAGAAAUUUGGAUUAAUACCCAAUAAUACAGGCGUACCGCAUGGUAUUCUUCGUUAAAGAAUAAUCGGUUAUGGAUAGGCAUGCGUUCUAUUAGGUAGUUGGUGAGGUAACGGCUCACCAAGCCGACGAUGGAUAGGGGAACUGAGAGGUUGUCCCCCCACACUGGUACUGAGACACGGACCAGACUCCUACGGGAAGCAGCAGUGAGGAAUAUUGGUCAAUGGACGAAAGUCUGAACCAGCCAAAUCGCGUGAAGGAAGAAGGUAUUAUGUAUCGUAAACUUCUUUUGUAAGAGAGUAAAGUGCACUACGUGUAGUGUAUUGCAAGUACCUUACGAAUAAGCAUCGGCUAAUUCCGUGCCAGCAGCCGCGGUAAUACGGAAGAUGCAAGUGUUAUCCGGAUUUAUUGGGUUUAAAGGGUGCGUAGGUGGUCUAAUAAGUCAGUGGUGAAAUCUCUUUGCUUAACAAGGAAAUUGCCAUUGAAACUGUUAGACUUGAGAAUGGACGAGGUAGGCGGAAUUCGUAGUGUAGCGGUGAAAUGCAUAGAUAUUACGAAGAACUCCAAUAGUGUAGACUGCUUACCAGACCAUAUCUGACACUAAGGCACGAAAGUGUGGGUAUCAAACAGGAUUAGAUACCCUGGUAGUCCACACAGUAAACGAUGAAUACUAACUGUUUGCGAUAUACAGCAAGUGGUCGAGCGAAAGCGUUAAGUAUUCCACCUGGGAAGUAUGCCGGCAACGGUGAAACUCAAGGAAUUGACGGGGGCUCGCACAAGCGGAGGAACAUGUGGUUUAAUUCGAU
rnacentral:rRNA from 1 species